rnacentral:lncRNA from 1 species
UCUAUUGUUUUAUUAAUACAACACUAACACUAAUCAAAACACAAACAUUUUUAUUCCAUUUCAUUUUAAUUCCAUCUUUACACAAACUCCACUAAUUUAUUAAUACAUUCGUCAAUUUUAGAUUCGAAAAUCUGUACGAUAGGGAUACGAAUCUUAAGCAAACGUUUUGCAUGUAAUAAAUCUUUUUUCCUCUUGACAGCAUAAUCGAUUCGUUAAUUACACGAAAGAUAUACGAGAAAUCUGGAAACACUGUUCACUCACGUUAUUUUCUGCGAGAUACUGAGAGGAGGAAGAGAGGGGGGAAUCGUUGUAAAUGUAAUUCAAUUAGCCACGGAUACAGCGUGCGAAUUGUCUUGAUAUUUCAUCGGUGAAAUUCGAUUAAUUGAAAUGCACGAAACCAAGCUGCGAGUGCCAAUUUUUUUUUUCCUUUUUUUCAAAUGCUCGCGAUCUAUCGAUUGGAGAGGAGAUCGGUUCUUCAUUCUCCCGGAUUGAAUUUACACGAAGGCAGGAAUUGCGCGCGGAUGUUACAUUAAAAAUGAAUUUUCGCGUCCAAUGCUCUCAACUAUGGUGAGAUGCGCGUGAUUUUUUUUUUUCACUAUCUCGAAUUGUUAGUGGCGUGUCGUGUUGUUGGUAAUAGAUGGCGCCAGGAAUUGAAUGAGAACCACUGACGCUUGAAGAUUGAAUUCUCGUUGAGAGAUACUUUUCAUUAUUAUAUCAAUGGAUAAAUAUGAAUUAUUUUGUCAUUUCAUCUAUCGUUUAUCUUUUACUUUGUGGACGCGUGAGUUUUCGAGUUUUGGAAAUUAAAAAAACAAAUCGGAAUUGUUUAAUAAUAACUCUGUUUCGUUAUAUAUAUUUCGUUAUAUAUAGUAAAUGUUUUACUUGUCGAUUUUCGUAUAUUUGGGAAAUUGGGAAACGAUCGUGAAUUACGAUAAAAGUUUAUUUAUAUCAACUGGUCAGAAGGACAAAUAAAUAGUGUAAUACAAUUUCACUUGAUUCUCUCUAUUAACUAUAACUUUUCGAUCAGUUCUUAUAAACUUGGCGUUACAAAAAUGGCGUUCUUAUAAACUUGGUUAUGAAAGGUACACGAUUGUUAAUAAUAUUCUUUAAUCACUAAAUCUUUUGUUUUAUUGUUUAAUUAUUCAGUUCUUUUUGAUUUUUCUUGUUUAUUAAAUCACAAGUAUGGUUUGUUAAGAAUUUACAUUAGAAACAUUUUCUUGCAAACAUUAACCUAACCUCAAAUAUUUUAACACUCAACAAGAAGAAUAUAUGAUAUUGAUGAAAUUUUCUACAACAAAUUAUUUUGAGAUUCCAUUAAACUUGAAUCGAGAAGCGAAAUUACACGCAUUAUUAUACUAUUUAUUCGAAAAGAAAAAAGAGAAAAAAAGUUUUUUGUCACGUUAACAAUAUAACAAUUUCUUGCAACGAAAACGUGUAACGUGCCGCGUAUAAUCAGAAAAACGCGAAUGGCAAGUACCCCUGAUUGAAAUUGAUUUACGAGCGUGUGUUUAAAUUCUUAACCCUUCUAGACAAAGAGGAUAAAAACCGUGCUGGCAACACCGUUCUCCAUUGACAUGCUGGCACGAUUUACGAAAUUGCCCCGAUCCUUCUCGACAUUCAACUUUUUUCUCGCCAUUCAGUAACCAACCACUGUAAUGUAUGCACAUACGUAGAACUGGUAACAAUCUGUGCAACUUUUUCAAAGAAAAAUUGGAAACGAGUCUUUAUCUAUCCAACUACGGAGGGACGAUUUAGAAAAGAAUAAUGAAAAUGAAUUGGAUGAAAUAUAAAUUGUGGGAUAGCAAUUCGAUGGAAAAAAGAGUUCAGUUUUUGUAUAUAUAAUAUACAAUAAAUUCCAACGUUCCUAUUCAAAACAAAGCUUAAACUCAUUAACAGAAUAACACUCUGGUAUAUCGCAAAUAAUUUUUUCUCU